rnacentral:rRNA from 1 species
GACGAACGCUGGCGGCGUGCUUAACACAUGCAAGUCGAACGGUGAAGCGCCUUCCUUUUUGGUGGGUGUGGAUGAGUGGCGAACGGGUGAGUAACACGUGAGUAACCUGCCCCCUUCUUCUGGAUAACCGCAUGAAAGUGUGGCUAAUACGGGAUAUUCUGGGUCUGUCGCAUGAUGGGUCUGGGAAAGAUAUUGUUUCGGUGGGGGAUGGGCUCGCGGCCUAUCAGCUUGUUGGGGGGGUGAUGGCCUACCAAGGCGGUGACGGGUAGCCGGCCUGAGGGGGUGGACGGUCACACUGGGACUGAGACACGGCCCAGACUCCUACGGGAGGCAGCAGUGGGGAAUAUUGCACAAUGGGCGCAAGCCUGAUGCAGCGACGCCGCGUGAGGGAUGGAGGCCUGCGGGUUGUGAACCUCUUUCGCCAGUGAAGCAGGCCUGCCUCGUUUGUGGGUGGGUUGACGGUAGCUUGAUAAGAAGCGCCGGCUAACUACGUG